GUGAAAAUCAAUUCCAUUGAAGGAGAUCUCCUAGCACUGGUUGCUAGAGCAUCAGCAAUGACAGACAAUAUCCCAGAGGUCAUGAAGGUUUACGUCACUUACACAAGAAACGGAUAACCCCAAGUUCCAGCUCCAAGGAUCAAGCUCAGCUGCUCUCUGUGACCUGACAAGAACCAAGAGAGAGCCUGUGUCCUCUCUCUCAGCCCUUUAUUCCACACACCUUCUACAUACCUGUGAUCAUGCCGUACAGUUCCCCAAGGUCAGAAUCCAGGUGUCAGAGUGAAGGCAUGGCAGCAGAAGUAGGAAGCUGAGGGUUUACAUAUUGAACUAAAAGGAGGAAACCAAAAGAACAAACAGGAAGUAGCAUGUGGCUUUGAAAUAUCAAAGCCUGCCUCCACUGACAUACUUCUUCCAGCAAGGCCACAUCUCUGAUAUCUACCCAAAUGGUACCGCCAACUGAAUACUGUGUGCUCAAACAACUGAACUUAAAGGCAACCUUUUCAUUCACAAGGAUAAAAAUAGAGUAUAAUGUUUUUUUUUUACCUAUAUUCUCUGUUCAAAGACAAAUCUCGGGUGGAUUGUUUCCUUUUUCUAAAUG
rnacentral:lncRNA from 1 species